rnacentral:lncRNA from 1 species
GGGGUAUAUAGCGAUUUUUUUUCUUGUUUUUAGCAUAGGGAAAAUAAUAUGUAAUUGUUAUUUUAGUUCCCUUCUUUUAAAAAAAUUUCACUUGUGUUUAGUAAAUAUUGAACUGAAUGAGUGCACUUUUUGUCCAUCUUGACCCACAGGCUAAAGCCAUCUACAUAUUUGCAAGCUUUGCCUGUCUGGGAUGAAUGGUCUUGAAGAGAAAAUGAUCAUAAUUUGCAUGAAGCUGACUCACCUCUGGGUAGAGAGAGAAAAGGAAACUAAGGGUUGGAGACAUGCAGCAGCUUUCACACAGCGAGUAAAGGGUAGGGGUAGUGACAAAAUAAGAACUCAAGCCUGCCUAUCUUCAAAGUAACCACGUUAUUUUCCAGGGGCUCAACUCUUUCCAGUACAUGGGUCAUACUUAGAUAGCAUUUCAAAGUGAAGGCCAAACAGCUAUGAGAAAAUAAGAAACCAGUGGGAAUUGGAGAAAAGAAGAUCAAGAAUCCUGCCUUCAUCCUUCCCCAGCCCACUACAGUGGCUCUCCUAAGGCCUCAAUUAUCCAAAUAUCUACUCUGUUAAAGAAACUCAGAAUAUGCCUCUCUAAACAGGGGAGAAUGUAAUAUACUUGACUCCUCACAGAUUUGAUGAUCAUUUUGGACCAAAAAAAUCUAUUAGUUUCCUGAUUUUCAUAUGUGAUUGCUUUCUCCCUUAUUCAGUCCAAUCUAAAGUGGGUGCCAGAUGCCAAUGAUGGUGCACACCUGAAAUGUCAGCACUCUGAGAGGCUGAGGCAAGAGA